AGGGAUGUGGUGUAUGUGGUUCAUUGCACAGGAGGCUCUAACCCUCUUGGACCGGGUUCGAAUCCUGGCGUCCCUA
rnacentral:tRNA from 1 species